rnacentral:rRNA from 1 species
AACUCUUAGCAAUGGAUCACUUGGCUUAUGCGGUGAUGAAUAACAUAGCUAGCUGCGAGAAUUAAUGGGAAUUGCAGGACACAUUAAUGACCAGCACAAUGCUAUACCACAAAAGUAAACUCACUCUGAAAUCCUUGACCAAAACCCAAUUUCCACAGAGGUGAAA